CUGGGCAAGGCCUGGCGGGGGCUUGAGGGUCCUUCGGUGGCUCUCGCCGCUCAGAACUGAGGCUCCAGGACGCGGUGUUUCCCCUCGCUCCGGGGUUGAAGGCUCCUCUCUGGAGUCACCUCGGCAAAUGACUGUUAAUGGCCCACAAUGACCGGUUUAAAUCUGCCGCAUCCUCCUGUUUCUACCCCUUUUGGUCAGAGAUUUUUAACUGUCCAGCAUGGGACACCUGUUGAAUGCUGAAAGGAACUUAGUAGGAGACGAUUCACAGCUCUGGUUCUUGGAAAGCAAUGGACAUAUAGCUUUAUCCAGAUGCUGAGUGCAUAUAAAAUUUGUAAACAUGCUACAUACUGGAGUUGAAGCAAAGCUGGUACACAUGGUGAUUCAGAGAUACUUGGAUAUCCAAAGUGAGGACUUGGUCACAGUGCUUGCAGACUGAAGUCACUGCCUGAGGCAAGUAUGAUGAAUGUCAACACAUGCCCUGAAGAAAAAUCAUGGACAAAAAAAAGAAAGUCAAAAAGGGGCAUUAUCUUAGCUAUUUUUCUGAGAAAACCAACAGCAACAACAAAAAAAAAGCGGCCAACCCCAACCCACCAACCCCCCCCGAUAUCAUAGAAUCAUAGAACGGUUUGGGUUGGAAGGGAUCAUAAAGAUCAUGUAAUUCCAAUGCCCCUGCCA